CACGGGGGUUGCGAGCGUUGUCCGGAUUUACUGGGCGUAAAGGGUGAGUAGGCGGUUAUAUAUGUCAGGUGUAAAAGGCUAUGGCUUAACCAUGGUUAGCACUUGAAACUGUAUGACUUGAGUGCAGGAGAGGUAAGUGGAAUUCCUAGUGUAGCGGUGAAAUGCGUAGAUAUUAGGAGGAACACCGGUGGCGAAGGCGGCUUACUGGACGAUAACUGACGUUGAGGCUCGAAAGCGUGGGUAGCGAACAGGAUUAGAUACCCUGGUAGUCCCUGA
rnacentral:rRNA from 1 species